rnacentral:rRNA from 1 species
AGUGGAUGGGGAGCAACCUAGUUGUGCGUGUGUAAAGGUAGUGCCAAGAAAAGCGGUGAUCAUGAUGAAAAUCAAUUCCCGGUACCCGAAACCGACACAGGUGGGCAUAGAGAAUACUAAGGGGCGCGAGGUAACUCUCUCCAAGGAACUCGGCAAAAUGACCCCGUAACUUAGGGAGAAGGGGUGCCACCGAGAGGUGGUCGCAGUGAAGAGGCCCAGGCGACUGUUUAGCAAAAACAUAGGUCUCUGCAAACUCGAAAGAGGAGGUAUAGGGGCUGACGCCUGCCCAGUGCCGGAAGGUUAAAGAAGUUGGUCAGUCUUAGGAUAAAGCUAGCGACUAAGCCCCGGUGAACGGCGGCCGUAACUAUAACGGUCCUAAGGUAGCGAAAUUCCUUGUCGGGUAAGUUCCGACCCGCACGAAAGGCGUAACGAUCUGGGCGCUGUCUCGGAGAGAGGCUCGGCGAAAUAGGAUUGUCUGUGAAGAUACGGACUACCUGCAUUUGGACAGAAAGACCCUAUGAAGCUUUACUAUAGCUUGGAAUUGUGUUCGGGCUUCCUGUGCGCAGGAUAGGUGGGAGGCGAAGAAGGUAUUCUUGUGGGGAUACUGGAGCAAACGGUGAGAUACCACUCUCAGGAGGCUAGAAUUCUAACUUAAUUAAGGACAGUUUCAGGUGGGUAGUUUGACUGGGGCGGUCGCCUCCAAAAAGGUAACGGAGGCGUACAAAGGUUCCCUCAGACUGGUUGGAAAUCAGUCGCAGAGUGCAAAGGCAGAAGGGAGCUUGACUGCGAGAAGUACAGUUCGAGCAGGGUGGAAACACGGUCUUAGUGAUCCGACGGUGCUGUGUGGAAGGGCCGUCGCUCAACGGAUAAAAGUUACUCUAGGAUAACAGGCUGAUCUCCCCCAAGAGUUCACAUCGACGGGGAGGUUUGGCACCUCGAUGUCGGCUCAUCGCAACCUGGGGCGGAAGUACGUCCCAAGGGUUGGGCUGUUCGCCCAUUAAAGCGGUACGUGAGCUGGGUUCAGAACGUCGUGAGACAGUUCGGUCCAUAUCCGAUGUAGGCGUGAGAAUAUUGAGAGGAGCCUUCCUUAGUACGAGAGGACCGGGAAGGACGCACCGCUGGUGUACCUGUUAUGAUGCCAAUUGUAAACGCAGGGUAGCCAAGUGCGGAGAGGAUAACCGCUGAAAGCAUCUAAGUGGGAAGCCCACCUCAAGAUGAGUAUUCUGGUGUAAGGUCACGGGAAGACGACCCGUAAAUAGGCACGAGGUGGAAGUGCAGAGAUGUAUGAAGCCGAAGUGUACUAAUAGACCGUCGGCUUGACC